UAGUUUCCAAAGUGCAUGGUUGGGCAAGAAAAAAUUCUGUUGGAAAGGAAGGAGUAGCUAAAAUAAUUGAUGAUAUUUACAGAAAAUUGCAGGUUCCUGGGGCUACUGAUUUAGCAUCAAAGGGACAGAGUGGUUCUGAUCUUAAUAAUGUAAAGCUUAAAGAGGAAGUUGAUGAUUCUUUUCAAUUGGAUAUGAAGAUUCGUUGUCCAUGUGGAAGUUCAUUGGCUACUGAGUCUAUGAUUCAGUGUGAAGAUCCACGAUGCCAUGUGUGGCAACACAUUGCUUGCGUUAUCAUCCCAGAGAAACCUAUGGAGGGUCUUCCGCCAGUUCCACUUCAAUUUUAUUGUGAAAUCUGUCGACUCAGUCGAGCAGAUCCGUAUGUGCAGUCUAUUUUUCUUGUGUAUUUGUGAAUUUACUUUAUUCAUUAUAUAGAUAUGGAGGAACUUCUCUUAGGUUGUAUAAUUGUUCUUUUUCUUUGAUUGGGACAGUAUUAUUGUUCUUUGUCUUUUAUUAUUGAUAGUUUACAAAGGUUAAGGCCACAUUUGGUUAAAUUUCUAUUUCAAACAAUCACUAUUUGAAGAACGAAUUUUGAGCCUAAAAA